rnacentral:rRNA from 1 species
UACGGGGGGAGCAAGCGUUGUUCGGAUUUACUGGGCGUAAAGGGCGCGUAGGCGGUCAGCACAAGUCAGUUGUGAAAUCUCCGGGCUUAACUCGGAAAGGUCAACUGAUACUGUCGCGACUAGAGUGCAGAAGGGGCAACUGGAAUUCUCGGUGUAGCGGUGAAAUGCGUAGAUAUCGAGAGGAACACCUGCGGCGAAGGCGGGUUGCUGGGCUGACACUGACGCUGAUGCGCGAAAGCCAGGGGAGCGAACGGG